AGAGUUUGAUCAUGGCUCAGAUUGAACGCUGGCGGCAGGCCUAACACAUGCAAGUCGAACGGUAACAGGAAGCAGCUUGCUGCUUUGCUGACGAGUGGCGGACGGGUGAGUAAUGUCUGGGAAACUGCCUGAUGGAGGGGGAUAACUACUGGAAACGGUGGCUAAUACCGCAUAACGUCGCAAGACCAAAGAGGGGGACCUUCGGGCCUCUUGCCAUCAGAUGUGCCCAGAUGGGAUUAGCUUGUUGGUGAGGUAACGGCUCACCAAGGCGACGAUCCCUAGCUGGUCUGAGAGGAUGACCAGCCACACUGGAACUGAGACACGGUCCAGACUCCUACGGGAGGCAGCAGUGGGGAAUAUUGCACAAUGGGCGCAAGCCUGAUGCAGCCAUGCCGCGUGUAUGAAGAAGGCCUUCGGGUUGUAAAGUACUUUCAGCGGGGAGGAAGGUGUUGUGGUUAAUAACCACAGCAAUUGACGUUACCCGCAGAAGAAGCACCGGCUAACUCCGUGCCAGCAGCCGCGGUAAUACGGAGGGUGCAAGCGUUAAUCGGAAUUACUGGGCGUAAAGCGCACGCAGGCGGUCUGUCAAGUCGGAUGUGAAAUCCCCGGGCUCAACCUGGGAACUGCAUUCGAAACUGGCAGGCUUGAGUCUUGUAGAGGGGGGUAGAAUUCCAGGUGUAGCGGUGAAAUGCGUAGAGAUCUGGAGGAAUACCGGUGGCGAAGGCGGCCCCCCUGGACAAAGACUGACGCUCAGGUGCGAAAGCGUGGGGAGCAAACAGGAUUAGAUACCCUGGUAGUCCACGCCGUAAACGAUGUCUACUUGGAGGUUGUGCCCUUGAGGCGUGGCUUCCGGAGCUAACGCGUUAAGUAGACCGCCUGGGGAGUACGGCCGCAAGGUUAAAACUCAAAUGAAUUGACGGGGGCCCGCACAAGCGGUGGAGCAUGUGGUUUAAUUCGAUGCAACGCGAAGAACCUUACCUGGUCUUGACAUCCACAGAACUUUCCAGAGAUGGACUGGUGCCUUCGGGAACUGUGAGACAGGUGCUGCAUGGCUGUCGUCAGCUCGUGUUGUGAAAUGUUGGGUUAAGUCCCGCAACGAGCGCAACCCUUAUCCUUUGUUGCCAGCGGUCCGGCCGGGAACUCAAAGGAGACUGCCAGUGAUAAACUGGAGGAAGGUGGGGAUGACGUCAAGUCAUCAUGGCCCUUACGACCAGGGCUACACACGUGCUACAAUGGCGCAUACAAAGAGAAGCGACCUCGCGAGAGCAAGCGGACCUCAUAAAGUGCGUCGUAGUCCGGAUUGGAGUCUGCAACUCGACUCCAUGAAGUCGGAAUCGCUAGUAAUCGUGGAUCAGAAUGCCACGGUGAAUACGUUCCCGGGCCUUGUACACACCGCCCGUCACACCAUGGGAGUGGGUUGCAAAAGAAGUAGGUAGCUUAACCUUCGGGAGGGCGCUUACCACUUUGUGAUUCAUGACUGGGGUGAAGUCGUAACAAGGUAACCGUAGGGGAACCUGCGGUUGGAUCACCU
rnacentral:rRNA from 1 species